rnacentral:rRNA from 1 species
UACGUAGGGUGCAAGCGUUGUCCGGAAUUAUUGGGCGUAAAGAGCUCGUAGGCGGUCUGUCACGUCGGGCGUGAAAAUCCAGGGCUUAACCCUGGACCUGCGUUCGAUACGGGCAGACUAGAGUUCGGUAGGGGAGACUGGAAUUCCUGGUGUAGCGGUGAAAUGCGCAGAUAUCAGGAGGAACACCGGUGGCGAAGGCGGCAUCCUGGACCGGUAUUGAUGCUGAGGCGCGAAAGCUAGGGGAGCAAACGGG